rnacentral:rRNA from 1 species
AUACCCUGUUAUUCUUUACAUUAAAAGGUAAUAUCUUUGAGAGAAACCUUUGUCCUUUGGCGGCCCUCCCCCUUUUCAGAGGAACUUGUUGUUUAAUCGAUAAACCGCGUUAAUUUUCACUUUUUUUUAGUUUUUAUACCGCCGUCUAAAGAUCACAUUUUAAACUUUUUUCUUAAAAACAAAAGUUUAUAAGUCAGGUCAAGGUGAAGCAAACAAAAAAGAAAUUCAUGAGUUACUUAUUUUUUCUAAUAAUGGAUUUAGAUCUAAAGCCUUAAUGAAAUAGGAUUUGACAGUAAUGUUAUUUUAAAAUAAUAAUAUGAAACAGCAAAGAGGGUGCACAUAUCGCCCGUCGCCCUCUUCUAAAGAUGAGAUAAGUCGUAA